GAUGAAGAACGUAGCGAAAUGCGAUAAGUAAUGUGAAUUGCAGAAUUCAGUGAAUCAUCGAAUCUUUGAACGCACAUUGCGCCCCUUGGUAUUCCGAGGGGCAUGCCUGUUCGAGCGUCAUUAUAACCCCUCAAGCUCAGCUUGGUGUUGGGGCCUGCAGCACUGGCAGCCCUUAAAAUCAGUGGCGGCGCCAUCUGGCUCUAAGCGUAGUAAUUCUUCUCGCUAUGGAGUCCUGGUGGAUGCUUGCCAUCAACCCCCAAUUUUUCUAUGGUUGACCUCGGAUCAGGUAGGGAUACCCGCUGAACUUAAGCAUAUCAAUAAGCGGAGGA
rnacentral:misc_RNA from 1 species